rnacentral:rRNA from 1 species
CCCGCAACGAGCGCAACCCUUGUUCAUUAGUUGCUACAUUCAGUUGGGCACUCUAAUGAGACUGCCGGUGACAAGCCGGAGGAAGGUGGGGAUGACGUCAAGUCCUCAUGGCCCUUAUAGGUGGGGCUACACACGUCAUACAAUGGCUGGUACAAAGGGUUGCCAACCCGCGAGGGGGAGCCAAUCCCAUAAAGCCAGUCGUAGUCCGGAUCGUAGUCUGCAACUCGACUACGUGAAGUCGGAAUCGCUAGUAAUCGUGGAUCAGAAUGCCACGGUGAAUACGUUCCCGGGUCUU